GUCUACGGCCAUGUCACCCUGAACACAAGUCCGAUCCAGUCUGAUCUCAGAAGCUAAGCACCAUCGGGCCUGGUUAGUACUUGGGUAGGAGACCACCUAGGAAGACCAGGUGUUGUAGGCG
ensembl:rRNA 5S_rRNA 5S ribosomal RNA